GUCUACAGCCAUGCCACCGUGAACAUGCCCUAUCCUGUCUGAUCUCGGAAGCUAAGCAUGGUCAGGCAUGGUUAGUACUUGGAUGGGAGACCACCUAGGAAGACCAGGUGCUGUAGGCA
rnacentral:rRNA from 1 species